CUGCUUUGCAAUGUCCCAGAUCUUAUGAGUUAGGACUUUCUUCAUUGGUGGGAUUUUCUGCACACUGGCCGUCCAAUCAUGCUGUAGGACUUCAAAGCAAUUAUUGAACGGACCUUUGUUGUUGUUACUCAGUUCAUUAGUUGCAACCUCAAGCAGAUGCGGGAGUUCGCUGAUAGUUGGAUUGAGUUCAUGAAAACCAGCUACCCUUUUUGGAGACAACUUUGAUGGAUUAUACCGUAACAUAUUCACCAGAAUAGUUCUAACAUCCCUAAGAUUCUGGAAAUACAAUUCUCUAGUUGACUGAUGAUGAGCAACAUUGAGAAAUUCUAAACACUUGAACCGGGGUAGAUACAGAAUAUCAUGAACUGUAAAUGCUUCAAGGCAGCGGUUCAUGCUGUGGUAGUGCUCGAGCAAUUCAAACAGCAACCUGUAAAUCCUCCGGCCAAAUUCACUCAGCAAUACACAGUACUCUGCAUUAAGCCAAAUUGGCCAAUUACCUCUGAAUUUAACAACCUCAAAUAAAUUGUCACCAGUUGAUAUUAUAAGUU